GCCGUUCAGGAUGCUGUGGAAAUUGGGGGUUAGUGAACCCAGCAGACCAGAUUCUGAGGUCUGACAGUCAAACGUUGUCACCAUAGACUCUAUCUAGAACAGACGCCGUCUGCCUCCUCUCUGGGUGAAGCCACUCUGAGAACAGCACCCUCUGGUGACAGGCUGCGGUACAGAUCAUAAAUCUCAGUUCCUUAUGGAGCUGUGGACAAACUUUAUAAAUAAAUGACACAGAAUAUACAUUUUUUCUCCCCCCUGGUUGUGAUGUUGACAUGUAGGUACUGUCAGACUGGUUUGUGCUCAAGUCCUCUUUUUUUCUGUACAGCUCUAUUUUUAAAAGUUAUUAGGGGGUUCAUGUUUUCUAUGAUUAACACUUGAUACAGCCUAUGGGAGUACCAAGAUUGCGUAGCUCACCGGGGGGAUACGCUGUUUGAGCUGAGCGUCAUCAUACUCUCCUGCCGAACGCGUACCAUGCUACUGCGCAAUGUUGGUGUGACGGCUCUGUGAUCUGCCUGUUUCCUCUCAGUGCCUCCCAGGAAGCAGGGGGCCAUCCAAAGCAGACCACACCUCAGGGUGUGGCUUCAUUAAUAAAAGGCUGCCUCAGUCAGUCUGCCCUCUCUCUCUGGUGGUUGAGCAGCUGACUGCUGCUAAGGCCUACAGCCUGCUGCUGAGGCCUAGAGCCUGCUGUAGUUUGUGAUUGUUUUCGGAGAUACACAUACAUUUUAGGCUGUAUUUGGACAGAGGAAGAAGUGCCUAGAAAGUAGAUCUCAUUCCACUUCAGUGGGGCAACAUAAACUGUGAUUCAUAAAAUAGCUCUAUUGAUAGUAAGUACUAAAAAAAAAUAUCUACUCAUGCCAUCUAGUCAAUUUUUAGUAACCAGUGUUUUGGUGUCGAACUAUUUCCUUUCUGUGGCGUAGUGAUACUUGCACACGCGCAAUCGAAUAUGCAGAGGGGUGAAGCAAUUUUUGUCACAUGGACUAAUAGGAGCCGAGUCUCGUUGCCAUAGAAUUAGAAAUACACAAACAUGACGACGAGCGCAUCUAGCAGCGAGACAAGCGAAGAGGAAGAAAAGAACAGGAAAAAAGAAAACAGCCUUCAAAAGUGCAUAAAAAAAGGAACGAAACGAUGCUAUAUGCAUCUAUCAUCUUUCCAGAGUGAAGACGUUCUCGACUUUACAAGGACACGUUGGGAAACUUACAGAACUAGUAUUAGAAAGUGGCUUUCUCUACAGGGUGAGACAAAAGACCAGCCAGAAAUGUACAUAUAUGUGAGUAACACAAAAAACGAUUAUAUGGUGCUGCUGUUUUUGCUUAUAGAAACUGCUAUGUUGAUUCUGGCAAGACAAAAUCUUUCUCAAAUAUCAUAAAUACAUCUACCUAACAUCUGAAAGAGUUAUUGGUGCCUUAGUAUGCUCAUAACUGAAUUCAGAUUAUGAAAUGUAGCAAAUUUCUGGAAGAAAAUGUCUCAACUCAAGUGAUUUGCACCCAGCACAAUGAAAUAUAUACAGUAAAUUUAGCUAAAAGCUUAUGUUUCAAACAUAAAAAUGACACAACCUACUGUGUAAUAAAAGCAAUAAAAUAUAAACAGCACAUCAUGACCAUAAAUGGCUGAAAGUCAAUCAAAUUGCUACCACGCCCCCCAAAAUUGGAAUAAUGGAAAAAAUGUAACAAGACAAAAAGAAAUGCACAAAAGGUCUGAAUUAAUUCAAAAUAUGGUAUAAAACAUUUAUUCAAGUAUCACAGUGUCAAAACAUCUGUCAUUUAUCAAUCCCUCCAGAAUAUGAAAAUAAAGAUCAAAACACAAACGCAGACAAAUGUAGAACAAAUAUAGAAAUAAUAAAAAUCUCAAAUCUUGGUGUAUCAAUCCUUUAAACAAAACAAAUAGUACAUGGUGACAUGGUGCGUAUAUUAGGCAUCACUAUCACUUUUAUCAGAGUCAUCAUCCCAUACAGCUCUUUCUUCUGUUUCCUUUGAAGCAUUCUCACAUGCUUGGCACCGACAUAAAUCUGUACAAGAUAGUCUUGCAGACAUACAAGAACAUCGUUCAGUCUCACAUUUGGUUGUCUUGCAACUACAGUGGACUAUCAGGGGCAGGGCAUUUGUGAUGAAACUGUAAAGGGGCACACAUUUUACUAGUCAGAAAAUGUUUCAUCACCGCUGCUUGGCAGUUUGCUCUCAUGCAGUGUUGGUACAUGGCGUCACUUGUUGGGGGAAUGGACAAUUCUGGCAAAGCCGACGAGGCCAUGCAGAAAGAUUUGUAUCUGGCAUCAUUUACAUUUUUGGCAGAUGACUGGCCAUACAGGUGGCACACAUAAUUACUCAGUGUGUUGAAGGUGGAUUGGUCAAGGUUAAAACUGUUGCCCAGAUUUGCAAACCCAGUCAGGUAUUCUUCUUUCUGACAAGCAACAGAAAAUGUUUUUCUUUUGCCCUUGCCAUGAAAGGCACUGGUCGAGUCACAACCUGUGAAUGUAUGAAUGUUCUUGUAUAUCAACGCAAUGUUUAUAAGUUUCUGCAAGGUCCUUUGUCUCACCCUGUAGAGAAAGCCACUUUCUAAUACUAGUUCUGUAAGUUUCCCAACGUGUCCUUGUAAAGUCGAGAACGCCUUCACUCUGGAAAGAUGAUAGAUGCAUACAGCAUCGUUUCGUUCCUUUUUUAUGCACUUUUGAAGGCUGUUUUCUUUUUUCCUGUUCUUUUCUUCCUCUUCGCUUGUCUCUCUGCUAGAUGCGCUCGUCGCCAUGUUUGUGUAUUUCUGAUACUAUGGCAACGAGACUCGGCUCCUAUUGGUCCACGUGACAAAAAUCGCUUCACCCCUCUGCAUAUUCGAUUGCGCGUGUGCAAGUAUUACUACGUCGCAGAAAGGAAAUAGUUCGACACAGAAACACUGAUUACUAAAAAUCGACUGGAUGGCAUGAGUAGAUAUUUUUUUUUGUACUUACUAUCAAUAGAGCUAUUUUAUGAAUCACAGUAUAUGUUGCCCCACUGAAGUGGAACGAACCAACACGAUCUCGCUCAGCCAAUACAGCCUAUAUACCCCACCUGCAUCCACACGCACUACACCUGAUUAUACACACACAAAAUUAUGUACAUUUUGGGGUUAUUGUAGUUAAAUGAACACUUUAGAUCCUCAGAGAUCUGUGUCUCCUCUCUCCUUUGUUUCAACCUGAGAGCCAGGGUUGUAACAAAUGGGGGCUCAUCCGGGAUACUUCAGAAUCCUGGAUGGUAGUGUUGUUUGGUAGACUACAGCUGCAGUUUUGUAUUGUUGGAUUGGUUUCAUCAGUGGUCCAUUGUGGCGAGUACCAAAAGCUGUUUGAUGGGAGUAUUUGGUUGCUGUAGCCUGAGGAAAGCAGUUUUGGGGAGAGGUUUUCACAUAUCUGGGGAAAUGUAUGUUGGGUCCGUGUGUGAUGAGGUCGUUGGUUCAUGAGUUGGUGUUGCUAAUGUGGCUGCAUUUUGUUGCCCUUAACCGCUGGGGUGCUAUGAAACAGCCUAAGUCAGUGGAACUACUUUCCCGGUAGGUUAGGUAGGUUUUUUGAGAGAGAAUGACCUCCACGUGAGCUCGUUGUUUAUUGUUUUAGUUUGUUUUAUAUUUGUGCACUAGUGUGGCCACAGCAAAUUUUGCUUCGGGUACACCUCCGUGACUGUCCAGGUGGGUCGCUAUUUCAAUAGUUUCCCGGCCGAGUCAUCGGGCUCUGUGUUUCAAUUUCCCACCAAUGCUAGUACUUGAAGACUAGGUUUGAGAGAGUCAGCUAGUUUUCUGGUUAGGCAGUCAGCUAGGGGAAAGGAUGUUUCAUAUUGUGGCUGUUGCACUGGGAUAAGGGGGAAUUUGUUCAGUUGUUGUUCUGUUCAGGUUAGUCUAACCCAAGUUUUGCCAGAAGAUUUUUUUUGUUUUCUCCCCUUUUGUGUCUGGUUUGUGUGGGUUGGUUGCUGUGGGGUGACCAUAUCUGCUGUUGAAGAUUUUUUGCAGAAUCCCAGGGAUGAUCUGUGAAACACCUUCACUAAGGAGCAGUUAUUUAGAGUGGCUGACCAUUUUGAAGUUGAAGUCCCUGGUGAGGCCCUCAAAGAUUGUAUCUUGAGUACAAUUAAAGAACAUUUGCUGCAGUUGGGGGUGUUGCCUGCGGCUGUUGAAGGCAGUGAUGCUGGAAGUGCACCAACUCCUGUUUUACCUGCAGUUUUUCCUCAGGUUAGUCCCCCAGAGCAGUCUUUUAAAUAUGUGUGGCCUGUGGCUGGGGUGGGCGUGUCUUUGACUUUUGAUCAGCAAAAAGAGUUGUUGACCCUGUAGCAUAAGUUGGAAAUGGAGCGUGAGGAUAAGGCUCAGGAGAGGGCCCAGGCUCUGCAUGCUGUUGAACUGGAGAAACUGAGAUACCACGAGUUCAAAUGAUGCGCUUGAACCGAGAGGUUGCUGCAAGUCUGGUCUCUCUGUAUUAUCUGUAAUUUUUGUAAUUUAUGCUAGAUUUUUUUCAUAUUUUUGUUGUAAUUUUGUUGGCUGCUGAUGGAUACUUCUGCUGGGCGAAGAGUUUACUCAAGAGAAUAGCUCCUUUCAUUGAGGAAAAGCAAAUCUGGGCAACAACAUACAAUUCACGAGGACAUCAGGAGGUGUUAUUGUGGUUGCCGUGCUGGUCUAAAGGUGAAGGCAAAGCUGAAUGCUAGGAGGUGGCGAUAUAAACCCUUUCUUCCAUCAAUCAUCAUGGGAAAUGUCAACUUUCUGCCCAACAAAAUUAUGAGCUGGAGAUCUUGGUGAAGACUGAGAAAGCAUACCGUGAGUGCAGUUUCCUGUGUUUUACUGAAACCUGGUUAAAUCAAAACAACUCGGACUCCAGUGUGGAUCUACCUGGCUUCACUCUUAUAAGGUCAGACAGAGAUGCUCAAGCUUGUGGCAAGAAGAAAGGAGGAGGUCUGGCUUUAUUUGUCAACCAGAGAUGGUGUAACCCUUCACACAUAACUGUCAAGGAGAAGUUGUGUUGUCCAGAUAUUGAACUGUUGGCAGUUUCUCUUUGGCCAUAUUAUGUUCCCAGAGAAUUUAGUCAUAUCAUAACAGUAGUUGUUUACAUCCCACCCAAAUCAACUGAGGAAUGUUGCAAUGUUUUGCAAAAUAGUGUUGCCAGGCUACAGACUCAACACCCUGAGGCACUAAUGAUAAUAUCAGGAGACUUCAACCAUGUCACCCUCUCUUCUCACCUGAUUGGAUUCACACAGUUUGUAAACUGUCCUACCAGAGAAAACAAAACCCUAAAUCUGCUGUAUGACAACGUCAAAGAAGCCUACAGAGCCACUGCCUUACCACCACUGGGCAAGUCAGAUCAUAACUUGGUCUAUCUGCAAACCUGUUACAGACCUUGUGUACUGAGGCAGCCUGUGACCAAAGUCAAAAUCAGAAGAUGGACACCUCAAGCCAGUGAAGCUCUACAGGACUGUUUAAAAUCAAAAGACUGGAAUGUGCUGCUGGAAGCAGAUGUGGAUAGUAUGAACACUGAUAAACAGGUUGCCUGCUUUACUGAUUAUGUCAACUUCUGUAGAGACACAGUUAUACCCACAAUUAUAUCACUGUUUCCCCAACAACAAACCCUGGAUCACAAGAGACAUAAAAGCAAUCCUUAACCAGAAAAAGAAAGCUUUUAAAGAUGGUGACAAAGAACAACUCAAACAAGUGCAACAAGAGUUGAAGAGGAAACCGAAGAUGGCAAAGCUGGAGUACAAAAAGAAGAUAGAGAAGAAUCUGCAACACAGCAACAUCCGUGAAGUGUGGAGAGGAAUCAGUACCAUCUCUGGACACAUCAAUGAAAAGAAAAGACAGCCAGUGGUGGGUGAUGUGAAAAGAGCUGAUGAACUCAACCUGUUCUUCAACAGAUUUGACACUGCUGUCACUCCCACUGCCACUGCUACUCCACAUUCCUCUUCGCAACAAAUCUCCACUACAACUUCUCCCCUUCCUCCUCAAUCUUGUUCAAAUGUCUCAACCACUUCAACUGCCUCCCUCCGAGAACACCAGUCCUUGUCUGUCACCGAAACAGGGGUGAGAAUGGAGCUUGGAAGACUUUGUCCUGGGAAGGCAGCUGGUCCAGAUGGUGUGUGUCCAAGGCUGCUUAGAGACUGUGCUGCAGAACUGUGUCAACCUCUCCACAACCUCUCCUGAGUCUACAGCUGGUGUGGGUACCCGCUCUGUGGAAAACAUCCUGCAUUGUGCCAGUACCAAAAACAAAAUGUCCUGCUGAACUCAAUGACUACAGACCAGUGGCCCUCACUUCACACAUCAUGAAAACCCUGGAGCGGCUGAUUCUACGCCUUCUGAGGUCUGAGGUUAAAGACAAACUGGUCUCGCUGCAGUUUGCAUACAAAGAACACAUUGGAGUGGAUGAUGCUGUCCUUAACAUGCUUCACCGUGCCCUGUCUCAUCUGGAGAAACCUGGGGUUUAUGUGAGGAUCAUGUUCUUCGACUUUUCAAGUGCAUUCAACACCAUCCAACCCACCAUACUCAAAGACAAGCUCACAGAGAUGGGAGGGGAUCCUUCCUGUGUUUCCAGGAUCACAGAUUACCUGACAGGAAGGCCACAGUUUGUCAGGCUGGGGAACUGUGUUUCUGGGAUAUUAAUGAGCAGUACAGGGGCUCCACAAGGGACAGUGCUGGCGCCAUUCCUGUUCACACUGCAUACGUCAGACUUCAAAUACAGUACUGAGUCCUGCCACAUCCAGAAAUACUCAGAUGACACUGCUAUUGUGGCAUGUAUCAGAAAUGGACAAGAAGCUGAAAACAGAGAUCUAAUAAGAGCCUUCAGUGACUGGAGUCACAAAAACUGCCUCCUCCUCAACACCUCAAAGACAAAGGAGAUGGUCAUAGACUUCCUUAGAUCCAAACCCCCUCUUCAGCCAGUGAACACCUGUGGAGUGGACAUCGAAGUGGUGACAUCAUAUAAAUACCUAGGUGUACAUCUGGAUAAUAAGUUGGACUGGUCUAAGAAUAUAGACUACAUCUACAGAAAGGGGCAGAGCCGCCUCUUUUGCCUGAGAAGACUCCGAUCAAUAGACAUCUGUAGUAAGACACUGCAGAUGUUUUAUCAGUCUGUGGUGGCAAGUGUGCUGUUCUACGCUGCAGUCUGCUGGGGAGGAAGCAUCAAACACAAAGAUGCAAGACGUCUUUACCAACUGGUGAAAAAGGCUGGCUCAAUGGUAGGACUCAAGCUGGACUCAGUGGAGGAUGUGGUGGAGAGAUCUACACUGAGGAAGGUGGAGACUAUUCUCAAGAACAUGGAUCACCCACUUCACAACACUUUGAUGGACCAAAGGGCAAA